UGGGUAAAGGCUACGCGUGUUUAGCACUAUACUUAUUUUACUCGAACAGCCGUUGAAAAGGCUUCGAAGUUGUCUCUUUUUGACCUAAAACAUUGCUCCCUCAGAUUUUGAAUACCCUUCCUAGAUCUUGAUAAAGUUUAUCAAUCAUGACGAAGUGAUAAUUUUUUCACCCGUGCAAUCAUUCAGUUCUUCUUCUUUUUUUUUCUUUUUUUUUCUUUUUCUUGUUGAUCUAUUUCAUCAUCAUUUCAUCUUUUCUGUGCUCUUGGAUUGGAUCUCAGGAAGGCUCGGGGCGACGUAUCCAAAAUCGUUUGUAUUGAGAUAGAAUUUUCAUGGAUAUGGCACCAGCUGGUUUCAAACGCAGCUUAAAGAUUACAAUCUUGAUCUCUCCUCCACCUGGAAGUAGAAACUGCAAAGAGAAACAUGCAGCACACUGCACCAAUACCAUACCAUUAGUGACUUUCACAAACUACACCAAAUUGAAACGUAAAUCAACCACCACAAUGGCUUUGGCUAGGUGCUGGAGCAGCAGUUGUGUUGGCCACUGAUAGACUUGCCUCAUAAGCAGCAGCUGUCUGUGCCGAUGAGGAUGACCCUUCUUG